UACGGAGGGUGCGAGCGUUGUCCGGAAUCACUGGGCGUAAAGGGCGCGUAGGCGGCGCGGGGAGUCAACGGUGAAAGCUCGGCGCUCAACGCCGAGUCGGCCGUCGAUACUCCCGUGCUCGAGCACUGUAGAGGCAGGUGGAAUUCCGGGUGUAGCGGUGGAAUGGCGUAGAGAUCCGGAAGAACACCGGUGGCGAAGGCGGGCCUGCUGGGCCAGUAGCUGGACGCUGAGGCGCGACAGCGUGGGGAGCAAACAGG
rnacentral:rRNA from 1 species